rnacentral:lncRNA from 1 species
AUUUUAUCUUUUUAAGUCAUUGAUUACAAUGCUUAGCCCAAAUAUGGGAGAGUCAAUAAAGUGUCUUGUUUAAGUUUAAGUGUCUAGUUUAAAUGCCUGUUUUUGAAUUCCCGUUUAUUUGAGUUUUUGCUUGUUUUGUAAGUGAAUGGUGAAGUGUAAGCAACGUGUCUGUUUUGUGUUUUGUAAUGUGAUAUAUAAAAAAAAAAAAUAUAUAUAAGUUUCUUCCAAAAGGUUGUUUAAGGAUGAUUAUGUACAUGAAAACAAAAAAUUUGUGUUUUGAGUGCUCUUGCUAUACCCGUAUCAGUUUCAAUGUGAAAUUCUCUCUUUGAAAAAAGCAAAAAAAUGCAGUCUUUGAGUGAGUGUGUAGGUAGAUAUUUUAAGGAGCACGUUCUAACUUCAACGAUAAAUUAACCCUCAAAAGUUUAAUUUUAAGAGUAAAAGUAGUAUGAGUUUGUGUGGGGAACAAAAAGUUCAAAAAUAAAGUGACCGUAAAGAAACCGAUAAUGGUUGGUCACCAAGACAUUAAUUAAAUGAUCAAGUGCCUAAAAUUAGUUGAUUAUCAAGAGGGACGGAAGUAAAUAUACGAGAUAAGGAUACACUGUCUUAUUUCAUUUCAUUGUCAAUAUUUUAGAGUACAAAAUCAUGAUUUCAAAGUCCAUAAAAUUUCAAAAAGAAAAAAGAAAAAUACAAUUAUUCGGUGCAUGCACAAAAACCAAAUGACAGCUCCUCGAAUAUUCCAGUAUAAAGUAUAAUCUGCAAUUAUUUUGCUAGAGCAGAAACUCAUUCAUCUAACUAGCCUCUGCUGGCAGUGGCCUUUACGACACCUACCAAUAUAGUUUCUCCCAUUUGGACAAUCUUUAUCUGUUAUACAAGUUUCAGUAUUUGCUACAAAAGCAGAAUCACAUACUAUUAAGACAAGAAACAAUGAAAUAAAUAGAAUCAAAACAUAAACAAACUUCAGAGUUUCAGCCAUAUUUUUCGUUCUUUGCAUUUAAAAGAUAGGAUAAGAUUUGAUAUAAAUAUAGUGUAUAAAAUUUAUGCUCUAAUAAAAAUAAUUAAAUGUUUGAAUAUUUUUAAAAUUUUAAAACCCUUCAUAAAAUUAUAAUAAUAAAUGUCUCUUCAGUAUAUAAGUGGGUUGUGUUUGUUCUUUCCACACCUAGAAAGAAGUUCAACUAUUAAACUUGAUAAUCAUAAGCAUUGAAUAUUAUUUGACUAAUUUUUCGGAUAUUACUUUAUCCUUUCGUUAUAAUAAAGGGAAAAAAUAUUUUUGAAUAUCAUAAUAUUAACUACAAAUAUAAUGCACCAUUGAGAUUGAGACCAUAUUUAUGCACAAGUAGAAUGCACUUAGGAUCAAUUUUAUUUUUUUUAUUUAAUCAUUGGAUCUUAAAUAAUAAAGUUCAUAACUUUUUUAUCCUUUCGUGAUAAUAAAGGGAAAAAAAUAGUUUUUUGAAUAUCAUAAAAUUAUCUACGGAUAUAAUGAACCACUAGGAUAGAGACCGUAACGUCUGUUUUGAUUAAUUAAUUAUUUUGUUGAGUUUAGAAUAUAUUUAUAUGAUUUAUGUGAUUUAAGUGAUUUAUGUGAUUUAAUGAGGUGUUGUGACUUAUUUUAUUGUUUAAUAAAAUAAGAUUUGAAAAUAAAAAAAAAAAUAUUGAGAUGAGGGGUUGUUUUGAGAUUUUAGAGAGUUUUGGGGAAGAAAGAGGAAAUAAGAUAGAAUAGAUAUAAAUAGGUGAGAGCUAGGUUUAGAAAAGUUUAACGUACGAUCAAUUUUGGAGAAAAUGGAGAAAAGUCAAGAGAAGAGAGAAGAACCAACAAGAGGCUGCGAUUUCAAAUUCUUAAGGUAAGGACGAGACUAACAUUCAAUCUUAUUAAGUCUGUAAUUCUGAUAGUUGUAUUUAACAAGUGUAGGAUUAGUUUUAGACAAUUGGAGAAUCAGGUUAAAGUGAGGAAUUGAUGAUUAAUUGAUGAAAAAGUGUUAGAUUGAUGUAGAAACUGUUUACAGACCUUAGAUAAUCCAUAGUUUGAUAUUUGGAAUCAAUGUUAAGCUUAAAACCAUGCCUUUAGGUGGAUUUUCGUGAAAACUGCAAUUAUGCCAGAGCAAACAUUCAUCGCUCGCCUCCCGAGUGAUGAUCCUCGCCCUCGCGAGUGGUGAUCUUCAUUGUUCGCCUCGCGAGUUGCACCUUGCAGCUCGCCAUAGCGAGUGUGACCAGUGAGUCGACCAUGAUUUUGUAAAUUGAUCCUUUAGUCGAGCUCUAGAUGUUUUUUAGUGCCUGAAUAUGUAUAAUAAUGAUUAGGCAAGUUUUUAGAUUGAGAUUGAACCUGGGAAAGUUUAAAAAUGGAUUUUUGGAUGAAAAAUGUCAAAUUCCCGAGAGCACCUAGUUUCUUGUUUGCCAAGGCGAAUGCCUAAUUCUUGAACUCGCCAUAGCGAGUAGAGUGGCUCGCCUUGCGAGCUGCCCAGUUUCAGAAUACCUUGUUUAGGGUAGGAAUGGAGGUUAUAUAUGAUAUUAAUGAUGAUCUGUGAAGCUUUUUAAGAUGAUUUGAUGUUGUUAAUAAUGUGAUAUAUUUGUAUAUGCAUUACAUGAAUUAUAUAUGAUGUUUGAGAUGUUGUUCAUUUGCAUUGAUAUUGUUAUAUCAUGAGCUGUUUUAUAUACUGCCUAUGUUGUUGUUAGUUUAUUAACUAAGCUGCAUGAGUCGGUCUAAGUUGAAAGAUGUUGUUCCAAAUUAUUGAAUUUAUAUAAGAGGUCGAUGUUUCUAAGAUGUAAGUUGUUGAGUCCAUGCAUACUCAUUCAUUGUUGGGGGCUUGAUGCCCUAGAGCUUUAGCUCAAUUAAGUUGAGGGCUUGAUGCCCUGGAAGUAUAUUAAUACUUAAUAUGUUGAGGGCUUAAUGCCCUAGAUUGGUACCACAUGCAUGAUUAAGAGGUCUAAGUUGCAUAGUCAAAUUGAAGUCACAUUGUCGAGUCGAGUUGUUAAGUUUUGUUCUAUACAUGAGUUGUUAAUGAAGUAUGAUAUGAUUAUAUUAUUAUCUAUGAUGAGAUUAUGAUGUUGUUAUGUUGUUAAAUAUAAUUGAUGAAUUAUAUGCUUAAUAUUAUUGUUUUGUGAAAUCUCACCCCUUCUGCUUGGAAAUGUUGCUCUUCGUAUGAGUAAUUUGCAGGUGAUCGAGAAUAAGUAGUUGUUGAUUGCUGUCGUGAGUGGCUAUCUCUCACUGUGUCUUUAGGUGCUCUGAUUAGUAACGGGAUGGGAACUUUUGUGGCUAUUUUCUAUUCCUUACAUAUUUGAUUAUGAAUUUAUAUGAUUAAGUUGUUAAUUGGAUUUUUAUGAGAUGUUUUGAUGAGGCCUUCGUGCCAAGACUAUUUAUGUUGUUGAAUUAAAUCCGCUGCGAAGUUUUGAAUAUUUAUGUUGAUUGAUUUAUGAAGGAUAAAUUGUUAUUUAUUCCAUUUAUGAAUUUUAAGAAGUGUAACAUUCCGUUUAUGUGGAAAACUCUGAUUAUUUAAAUUAAAUUUUUUAUGUUGGAAAAACAGGAUAUUAAAGAGACCAUAUUUAUGCACAAGUAGAAUGCACUUAGUAUCAUUUUUUUUUAUUUAAUCAUUGGAUCAUAAAUAAUUAUCGUUGGAUCAUAAAUAAUAUGAGACAUUUGCUAAAAUAGUGUGUCUGAACUGUACCACAAAAGUUCUUGACUAUUACUUUUCUCGCCCUCCUCUGUUGUCGGGCGCCCUGCAUAGAAGACACAAAUACCCCUGGUCUGGAUUAUGUAAUUCGAAAUACAUUGUUAACAUUUCUUUUUUUUUGGUUACAACAUUGUUAGCAUUUCCGGAAAACAAAAUCUGAACAGUUACAUUAUGUGAUUUUUUGUGUUUUCUUUAAUGUCAAAUGUCUCUGUUGACUGUUAUAUAACCUCCGCAUAAGCUGAAAAGCAAUUGCAGGAGUUAUAUGAACGGUCAACAAUGACCAUGACACCACAAACACUCCUAAAAAUCUAAUUUGGAUACAAAUCAAAAUUCAAUUACAACUAUUUUUAUUAAUGUCCUAAAUAGUUAGCACAUCUACAAAAUUACACAUGAGUGUAUUUGCAUUAUGGUGAAAAUGUUGAUUGAAGAAGCUUUGACCGAACAAAACGAUGUUCAUCUGAAGUCUCUUCAUUACUUUGAUAAUAUUUGGUGAUAUGUACAUCCUAAGGUUGAUAGCCAUUUCAUUUUGACCUUGAGCACAAAAAAGUUUUGCUUCUUCAAUCUGCCAUCCGGAACCAGAGCAAUAAUCAUAGCUAACUCAUCAAAAUUUGAGGCUUAAAUAACGCCUAAAUUAAGGUGGUUCGCAUAGAUUGUGUAUGAGAUAAUUAAAUAACAUUGGCAAUCCACAAUGAUGUAAUUAAAUGAAGCAUCUAGCAUAUAUAUAUAUACGAAUUUGUAGAAUAAGAUCAUGUGAUCUAGAAGUCCUAGCUCAACUGGCAAAAAUGCCGAUAUUGUUAGGCCGGAUGCCAUGACCGGGGUUCGAACUCCGGUACCUCCACUUGUGUGUGUGAGUUUAUAAUGGCUUUGCCAUUUCGUCUAUCUACCAAAAAAAAAGAAUAAGAUCAUGUGCAAACCUAUUUCAUGUCACUCAAUAAAUACUAUCCUUUUAUGUGUGUUUGGUUUGCAAAACAGCAUGUACUGUACAUAACAGUACAAUAUAGAACAGUACAACACAAGGCAGAACAGCACAUGAUAAAUUUUUUAUGACAUUGAGUAAUUUUUUGUUUUAUACGAUUUUUUUAGGGACAAAAUGUUAUUUUGAUAUUUUAGACAACUUGUACGUGGGACAAAAAGUUGUGUUGUGGUUUGGUGAGGGACAAAAAUAUGAGUUUUUGUCCUGUCCCUUGCCUCCAGUUUAUCUUGUACCUGAAACAGUUUUACAAAUCAAACACUGAACAACUAGAGUUGUUCUGCACUGUCCUUCAUUUUUUAGCAAAUCAAAUGCACCCUCGUGGAGUCGAAUCUUCAUCACAUUGAAAGAGUCUAGCCUUUUCAAUUAGAUCAACCGAGUUAAUUGUCCACUUUGUGUUUAUUGUUUUGUUACUAACUAAACACUAAAUAAAAACUAAACGGAUAGGAUGAAUUCUUAAUUAAAUGUACCAAAAAUAAUAAGGGUUAAAUAUAUUUUUUAUUCCUAUAAAUAUGUCAACUUUUUGUUUUAAUCCUUUUAAAAUUUUCUUUCAACUUUUACUCUUUAUAAAAUUUUCAAUCACUACUUUUGAUCCCUAUUAAUAAGUUAAUUUUUGUAUUUUUUUUUUUAAUGAAAUUGUGCAGAAAUGUGUAGAAUAUUGUAAAAAAAUAUUUCCAAAAAAAAAUUAGAAUUUUUUUUUUUAACAAAACACAAAUUAAAUAUAAAUUUUUAACUGUACAAAAUUCAUAUUAAAUUCAUAUUUUGUUAAAAAAUUCUAAUUUUAUUUGGGAGAGAUUCUCAUAAUAUUAUGAAUUUUUCUGCAAAAUUUUAUUCAAAAGUAUGAAUUGUACAUAUGAGUUUACUGUAAAGGAGGGACUAAAAGUGAAGAUGAAAAAAAUUAGGGAUCAAAAAUUGAAGAAAUUUUUUAAAAGGACUAAAACGAAAAGUUGAUAUAUUUACAGGGAUAAAAAACAUAUAUGAAAUAGGGAGGGAGGUGCAACAGACAACAGGGUCCUAACUCAAAUAAUUAGAUUGGUUGACAUAAAAAACAUUCAUAUCCACGUCACCCUGAAUUUUCAGCAGUCAAAUCAACCAAUUAGAAAGAACUAAGAAAGAGACAUUUAUUUUGUUCUAUUUGGAGCUAAUAAUUAUUCUCUACCAAUAAAUUUGGCUAACCACCUUUAAUGAAUUUGAGACUUUACUUAAAAAUUCAGGCUCAAUUCCACUCAAACCAACAUAUAUUUGUAUUACAUUUAUAUCAACAUGUUAUGGUUAAUAGAAAUGUUAUAUAUAAAGACAUUGAGAACUCUCUACUCAUAUCUAAAACAUGCCUUAGAAUUAAUAUAGUCAACCUUAUAAUUAAAUUCAAAAGGUUCAAUUCAUUUGAAUGGCACCCUCUUCAAGUUUUGUUCCUGUUGUUGUUUUUCUUGGUUUAGUUUUAGUACUAAGUUUUUUAGGGAAACAUAAUUAGUGAACUUAUAAUAGAUGUUUAUAUUGAAUAUUUUUUAUUUUUCAAAUUCUGAUUUUCUUAAAAAUCAUCAUUUAUUUACCCAAAUAUUAAUUGGUGUCAUAAGCAUAAACGUCAAAUAGUAGUGGUUACUAGAAGUUUGAUUGACCCAACAAGGAGAGGGAGGAGAUUCGAAGAAUCCUAAUCGCCAUCAUCAUUCUAAUUUAGCGGUACUUUUAUUUACUUUUAUGUUUAACAAUAACAACUCUUUGCAACUCCCCUGUUUUUAAUCAAGUUUAGUUUAAUUGUCUUGCAAAAGCAACAAUUCAUGUGGAGAAGAUAACUUACUACUUUAUUAAUUGAUAUGAUUUGACGCGCUUUCCGAAAUUAUCAUUGUCUAAAAAUUUGAAUGAAUAAAUAUUAUUUUUUUUUUAAAAGUAAGCUACAAAUUAUUUUUCAACUUAACUAUUAAAGUGAUAUUUUUAGAUGGUUGGAUUGAAAGAAAAAAAAGUUUUAUAUGUCUGAAAUGCAGAUCAUGGCAAUACCUUUAAAUUUAUGACAUAAGAAGACAUCUAUAAAUAAUUCUAUUUCAUGCCUUAUUUCAUUGCAUUGCAAUUAUCUCAUAGUAUAAAAUCAUAAUUUUAAGGUCCUUGAAAAUAGGAGAAAAAAUUAUUAGGUGCUUACACAAAUACCAAAUGAAAGCUCCUCAAAUAUUCUAGCAUACAAUAUAUUGUACAAUUCUUUGGUUAGAGCAAGAACUCUUUCAUCUCAACCUGCUACUCAUACAAAAGCCUUUCCGACAUUUACCUUUAUAAUUCUUCCUGUUUGGACAAUCUUUAUCUGUUUUACAAGGACGUGAAAUAGGGUAAUAAAUAGAAUCACAUCCUAUUACGACGAGAAAUAUGGAAAUAAAUAGAAUCAGAACAUAAACAAACUUCAGAGUUUCAGCCAUAUUUUUCACUCUUUGCAUCUAAUGUAGGAUAUGAUUUGAUCUAUUUAUAGUGUAUAAAAUUCAUGCUCUCAUAAUCUCAUAAUCAUUAAAUAGUUUAAACAUUUAUAAAAUUUUAAAAACUCUUCAUAAAAUUAAAAUAAUAGUAAAUGUCUCUUAAGUAUAUCUAUGUGUUGUAUUGGUCCUUGAUCACACUAGGAAAGGAGUUCAAAUCAUAAAAUUGCAAAUGUGAAGAAAAAAGUAAUGAGAAGUUAUAAUUUAAAUAAUAUUCAAUUCUUAUCAUAAUCAAUUUUAUAAUUUGAAGCAAGAGCCAACACAGCAAAUUGAUAUCUUUAAGAGGUGUUGAUGGUUGGAUUAGGCAAGUGUGACAAAUCGUUCACUAAGUAAUACAAUGAUAAGUAGAGUAUCGUAUCCACAUAAGUUGUCGUUUCAUACAAACAAUUCGUGUUACUUAUUUUAGAACAAAAUAAUAAAUAAAAGAGAUAAGGGUUUAGAGAUUAGUAAUUUUUAUAUGUUUGCAACACAACAAGUUACCUGUUUUGAUUACAAAAUGUUAAAGUCGAUUAGGAUUCUUUGAAUCCCCUCUAUUUAUUUGUUGGAUUUACGUAACAGUCAAGUCUUAUUCGAGGUAAUUCAUAUAAGGACUAUUUAAUGAGUUCGUGGGACAUGAUAACCUAAUCAGUUUGUUAAGUUGCACCUGCUGGUCGCACGGUGAUACUUAUGUGCAAGGUUUAUACUAUCUUGGUCGAUUAAGGUCUAUACCUCCGCCUGUUGAGUUGUACGUGUUGAUCACACGAUCAUCUUUACGUGUGCGGUUUAUCUCACUCAAGGGUAAUUGAAACAUAAACAAAUGGUAGAUUUCCUAGAAUUCCAAAGGUAUGAUGGCCAGUGUUCCUGAAGGUUCUCUCAUUUAUGGAUCUUAGAAGUUCAUAACACACACACACACUCUCUCUCUCUCUCUCUCUCUCUCUCUCUCUCUCUCUCUCUCUCUCUCCCUCCCUUAGUAGUUCUAGAAACAGGAAGCCCUAUCAGUGUAUACCUUACCAAGGAAAGAGAGCGGAGUUAUUGGGCUGAUUUAAGUCGUGAAGUCAUAGUUUCCUUAAUUACUAACUACUUACUACUUGAUUUCAACAGAUGUUCAUCAAUAUUAGGUAUGUCACAUCCCAAAGUACUUACUAUUAGGUAGAGCUGUCAAAAUGGGCCGGGCCGUAAGGGCCGGCCCGAAAGCCCGAAUAAAAUGUAGGGCUUGGGCCGAAUAAUUGGAGCCCGAAAUUGAAGAGGGCUUUUUAGCCCGGCCCGUAAAAGCCCUUGGCCCGUUAGGGCUAGCCCGUCCUGGCUCCGGGCUGCCCGGAAGCCCGCAAAAAGUACAACUGUUUUUUUUUUUUUUUUUGUGGUCUGUGUGUGUGAGAGACUGAUACGGGCUCGGGCUGGCCCGUUAGCCCGGCAUAUUUAUGUAUGUUCCGUACUUAAAAGAAUGGAAAAGGGAAGAAAAAAAUACAGGCCAGGGCCGGCCCGUUAGCCCGGGAGCCCGUAUAGGGCCGGGCUCGGGCUCAUUUUUUGCAGCCCAUAUUCAAACCGGGCUUUUUAGCCCGGCCCUUAAAAGCCCUUGGCCCGGCCGGGCCGCCCGUUUUGACAGCUCUACUAUUAGGGUACGCUCGCUUUUGGUUUGUUUCACUAGUUAAUAAUUAAUUACUUUCUGGUUAGUCAUAUAUAAAUAUCAAUAUUAGUCCAUGUCACUACAUAAGUGCCUAAAUCAGGGUUAUACUUUAGAGGAGACAAAUCUUACACACGACAAUAAAACUCAAUAGCAAACAUAAAAUAACUGAAUAAAGGCAUUAAAUUAUAUGAAUAUCCAACAAAUAGAAAUAGAGGUUCAUCUUAGAAUCAUAACCUAAAAAUAUUUAUUUAGUGAUGCAGGAGGAGGGUUUUUUAGUAAUUUAGUAGUAUUUAUUAUUUCAGCCUAAUUUAAUUAUUUGUUUGUUUUAUUUUCAGUUUGUUGUUUUUAAGACCAUUAUGGUUUGUUAUCUCCCUAUUUAAGCUUAACAGAUGUAGCCCAUAUAACUUUUAUUCAAUAAUAUUUUAGAGAGUUUUCCUCAAUUGGUGGAUUCUUGAACCUUAUUUUCACAAGUUUGUCGUUUGCAAACUUGUUUCUUUUCAAUCAAGGUUUAGUGUUUGCUAACAUACGCUUCCGUACUACGUCAGUUGGUAUCGGAGCAGGUAUCUCCUGUUCUUUUACGAUGGUAGAAUUUCACGAUUUAAUUGCGGCGGACAAAGCUCUUGCAGAUGAGAUGGCGGCAUUAUCCACAACAAUGACGGCUCGAACGGAGACGUUGACGACGUUGACAAUUGAGAUCGACAAAAUCAACAACAACAACAACAUAAACAAUCAGAACAGAGAUGUGGACCAAUUAGGCUUCCACGUGGUAGAAACAAUCAAAUUAUUGACUCUACUAUAUUGUCCAUUGAUUCAUUGUUGUUUGAUAGGGACAACACGACGAAAUCACAGGUGAAUGACAUAACUGCCCAUGACCAGAACAACAAGAUUAAUAGCUCUACGGAUAGUAAUCCUUCUAUCGACGAAAAUGCAUGCAUUUGUAGAAAACAAAAUAAUAUGCAUUGGACUUCAAACAUAGGAGUGAAUAAAAAACUACGAGCCACUAAAAAAGAUAAGUCUCAUAAUAAGAAAGGAUCAGAAGAAUAUGGUGAUGGCCAAACAGCUAUACCUUCUCUUUCAAUUUCCACUACAUAGCGCCUUACCAUUGGAUUUUUUUGAUAAUGAUCAAGGUUCUCUAAAUGAAAAUCCUCUCAUGACGUUUAACUUUAGCGAGUAUCGACCGCCGUCGGAACCACCUGAUGUCACACUCGAAUGUCGUCACUAAAUCGGACUUUGUCGGUUACUACCAGAGGUAUCACAACAAUUCAAUAUCUAUAUGUGUUUUAAUAAUAAUGCAGGGGGCAGAGGAUAUGUGCUUGUUUCUAAAGCUGUUAGUAAUGAAAUCCCUUCACUACUAUCUUUCAUGAAGAGAAAAAAAAAAACCAUAACCGAAAAACGAUGAGAAUAAAAAUAAUUUUUUAAAAAAUGGCUUUGUAAUGGAUUUGGCAAUUAGACCCAGGCCCGAUGGGUAUCCGCAAAAAUUAACCGCAAUGGAUAGGGUAAAUCCCCGCUUUCAUAUAUGGGUAUGAGCAUGGGUCCAGGUAAUUGCCCGCAAACUUAAAAGGGUACGGAUACGGGUAUGGGCAUUAUACUACCCAUCCCCGCAACCCGCACAUAUGUAUUUAUAUAAUAUAAUAAAUAAUUUAUAUAUUAAUUAAUUAAUUUACCUAACUAUUUAAUCUUAAACCUAAACCUAAAAAUUGCUUAUUAUGGUAACCUAAACCUAGUCUUCUGCUGCAUUGAAUCUCUUCCGUAUGCCUGCAUUUCGUUGCUUUUUGUUAUCCAUCUCUUCUGCUUCUAGGUAACUAUUUCUUGAAUCUUAUACUUCUAAAGGAAUGACAAUUGGAUCCAAGUCCGAUGGGUACCGGCAAAAUACUACGAUGCAUAUUGUUUUUUAUUUGGCUAAAUACUACGAUUGAUAUUAUUUUAUGAGUUGAUUUGAAAUUUUUUGGAUCAUAAUUUUAUUUCAAUUGCGGGUUUUUUUUUAUUGUCUUUUCAUAGUUAAAAUGCGGGUAAUGGGUGCGGGUAUGGGCACUUAGGUGCCCAUAGGGUAUGGGGAAGGGCACUAAAGUUGUUGCCCACGAUGGUACGGGUCCGGGUACGAGUAUUUUUUACAAACGCGGGUAUGGGGAUGGGUACCAUAGUACCCUUCCCAUUGGGUACCCAUUGUCAUCCCUUUUGUGUUGAUGAAAAUAAAAUGAAUGUGAAAUAAAAGUAAAUAAGAUAGAAGAGUUGCUACAAAAAAUAUAAAAUGACAAAAGAGCAAGUUGUGGAACAAAGAUAAAUUACUACUACUUAUUAUAUUAUUGUCUAACCUAUCCUAUAUUAUGAUGAAAAAUUUGAAAUGCCCCUUAUAUAUUUAUCCCAAAAUAGUGUCAUUCUAAGCCAAUGAUCUUAACUCUAGAAGACAAAAUUAUUAUCUUCCUUUAAUAAAAUAGUACACUUUGCAUCAGUUCUUAUUUUGUAAUCCUUGAAUCACUUUAUACUACUAUCUCAUAAUAUCUCUUUAUCGUAUAUGGUCAACUUGUACUUAAUGAAACAAAUUGCAUGUUGUUACUAAUUGUCAAAUUAUAUUGAGUAAACAAAUUACAUUCUGUCAACUUUGUUAUUAACAACCCUUCUAUAUAACAUCAACUAUUCUCUACUCAUAUCUACAACGAAAUCCUUUUCUUGGUUUAGUUUUUAGUACCAAGUGUUAGAGGUGAAGCUAGGCCAAGAACAUUUUGUGUUUGGUAAAUUCUCUUGUUCACAAUGGGAACAACUCUUAGCUUACCACUGCAUGUGGUGAUUCCCCUCCCUAUGAAAUUGAUUAUCCAACUCAUUGUCCAACCGGUCGAUUCUCUAAUGGCUGCAACAUUAAUUCCCGGCCUAUCAACUAAGUUUUCAUAUUAAUAUUUUGGUUUAGAUGCACUUGUGUUCGUCUAAUUUUUAGUUAUUCACAAGUUUAGUCUCCAAUUUCUAAAUCUUGAAAUAUUAUUCCUCAAUUUUAAAAUUUUCAUAAGAAACUUUUAACACUAAGUUUAAAGCUUAUUUUUGCUGUAUCAAGUUGAAUAAUGCAGUGAAAAAUUACAAAUCAGGGUGAUAAAAUGCAUACUUUUUUGAAAGUUUUUGAUGACUUGAAAAAAUAAAACAAAAUUUGGUCCCCCGUACUUAUUGCUACGGCACUAUAUUACUUCUUAAGUCAUUAUUCAAUUUGACGCAUCACUAAAAUUAAAACUUCUUGGCAUAGUGAUGAUAACCGCAAAAAUGUUGGUUAUUACUUUUGAUUUAUACCCAUAAUUUAAUAAUGAGCGGGCACGACGCUCUUUCCCCACGAAUUUGUACGACCAGCACAAACUACACCCAAUUUGCUCUUUUUUUAGGCUUGCAUAACUGUCAGCAUAAAUAAAACAACAAACUAAACGGUAAAACAAAAAGUAAGUAUAGUCUAAACAUUGUUGCUAUAAUCAUUGUCACCAUGGGUGUUACUACAGUCCAAAGAAAUGUGUUUUCCAAUGGGUAAAAAUUAAAGUGUAAAGCAGUAAACCAUGGAAGAGUUAUUUAAAUAUAUUAUGUCAUAGAAUUGAUUUGUCGUAAAUGGGGUAGUAGUACACAACAUCACUCGAAGAUACAUGUUUGUGAUUUUUCAUUAAAUAAAAGAAAAAAAUCAUGUCGUGCAACAUGCACGAAAAAGCAUGUCGUGCGUUGUAUCAUUAUCCAUUUGGAUAAUUUAUGCUCAUUAUGGUUGGUUUUAUGGGUUGGUUGUGUGUUUGUUGCAAAGUUGUACAAAGAUGCAGCCCCGGAGGCAUAAACAACAUCGUUGUAAGAUUGCUAGUAUAAGUAGUACGAAUAUAUGAACGUGGGUAUUUUUGAAACAAAAUGAGUUUAACAAUGCCUUUAAGUUUUGAUGAUAACUAGGUAUUAAAAGUUCAAUUGGAUAUGCUAAUAUUUGUUCAAGUGUGCAGGACCAUAGAGUAAAAUUUAUAAGUCUUAAAACAAAGUAUUGGUUCUGAAAGAACAAUUGAGAGCAAAAGAAUUUUCAAGAGAAGCUUAGUUGCAAGUCAGAAUUUGAAAAAGUCAGAGUCUGAAGACUAUUAAGAAGCUGGCUGUCAGAGUCUGAAGUUCACCCAGAGUCUAAAGAUUCAUCAGAAGCUGAAGUGAAGAAUCUAAAGUUAGUUUUUAUGGAUAUUUGAAGACACAAAUGUGCAUAAGUAAUAGAAGACUAGAGCAACGGAUAUUCUGAAGAAUUAGAAGGCUUUAGAUGCUUAUACAAAGAGAAAGAACAGUGAAUGUCAGUGGUGCAAUUGUACAACCACUACCUCCACUACUCCAACAUUUCAUGCGCAUAGUAAAAGUUACAGUUGUGUCUUUAUUGGAAUGAAACGGUUAAUUCCCUAUCAUGGAAUGGUUUUCAAAUUAUUCUCUCCUACGAUAUUAACCAUAUCAAGCAACAAAUCAAUGUUGAUUGAUCAAGCUUCUACAACGACUCUUUGAUAUAAUGGCACCUCUACAACAUCUCUUUCAUAUCUCUAUAUAAAGGAAUGAAGACUUGAAGAUUAGUUGUGACUUGAAGAUUAGUUGUGACUCUACAACAUUUUAACUUGUGCCAAAACUCUGCUGAAAUUAUUGUGCAUCAAAACACUUAGCAUUUCUUAUCAACUUUCAUAUCUUAAAAAUUCUUAAGUCUUAGAGUCUGAACUGUUUUGUACUGUGAACACCACUGAUUGUAUAUCAAGUGUUCAACCAACCUUAUUCUUUGUAAUUUGUUUGUUUAGGAAGUCUGUUGCUUUUGUGCUUGAGCAUAGGAAAUCUCUUGCUUGUGUGCUUCAGUAUUUUAAGUCUCUUGCUUCUGUGCUUGAGAAAUUGUAAUCUUAUGUGAUUAUAGUGAAAAUCUCCUUGGAAGUGCAAGGGGGGCUGGACUACUUCCGAAUUGUGGAAGGAACCAGGAUAAUUGCUUGUUACUCUUUCUCUUUUCAAUCUGUUGCACAAGACUCUGGACUUGGUUUAAAAGAAGAAAAAGUUAACACAAUUCAACCCUCCUCCUCUCACCUUCAGAUACAUCCUUGAUGAGGCAUGGAUAUGAAGUUUGUUGGGUCACCGAUGAUUGUCGGUACAAUGAAAAAUAAGGAAUUUUUUAUUCCAAAUGUAAUAAGGACGAAUGCACAUGGAAAAUUACUAAAGGACAUAAUUUGGAUAGAGACAAGACUUGUAAUAUAAAAGGACGAUGACAAUGUUCUGACAAGUGUCUGAAAUUUGUCAUCUUGUUUAAGCGGCGGUUUCCAACUAGGGUUAGCAGCCACUUAAGAUCUCAGAACCCAUAUUCUACUCAUCAUUCAUUUCAUUGGAGAGCAUGAUAGCUCGCUCUUACUUAGUUGGGGUUUUAGGAACCUUGUGAGUGAGUAAUGCAAAAAAUCUCAUUCUUUUUCAUUGUGUUUUCUUCCAUUUCUUAUCUUAUUUAUAUUUUUGUGUUUGAGCUUACCAUGAGCUAAAACACUUUGUGCUUAAGACACAAUGAGGUUAUGAUUAUGUUUGCAUAAGGUUGAUUAAUUGCGUGCUCAUGCUUCUUUUAAACAAGUUUUAUUAACUCUAAUAUUUAAAGUAAAACUUGAUCACUUUUAUCUUUAUUGUCAAAUUCCUUAAGCUUGACAGAGGAGGGGAACGGAACUACUUGUUUAAUAUGAGAAAUGUUUUAAUGUUAAGAAGAUAUAAAGACCUUGGAAAUGGUAGAGAUCUAACCUUAAUAAUGUUAAUGUUCAAUGUUAACUUGGCUUAUAUACAAGUCUAUGACUAUGAUAAGUUGCUCGAAGUACAAGCAAAGUAACAAACCCUAACAACCAUAAGCUAAAUUCUAGGAAACUUGUAAUCAAAUAACAAACUAAAAACUAAUGUGAUUAACCUACUAAAUAUGAUUACAUCACUAACAAACUUGAAUUGACCAUUAAAACUAACAGGCCAAGAGCGUUUUUUGUAUUUGGGGAUUUUCUUGUCCACCAACUGCUCGAUAAUCUUAUUCCAUUUGCUUCAAAAUGAGCAGAAAACAAAUUUAAUAUAAUAAAAGGAAAACAAACAUAUAUAGUUUGGUUAUGCUUAAUGAUAAUGCAACCUUUUUCUUCAAGGCAUAUUGACUACGGAGUAUGUAAAAUUUCGCAUUUGUGAGUACAAAAAAAUCACUUGCUGGUAAAUCAAUUUUCUUGUAAUUCUUACGUGGAAAAAUAUCUAAAUCAGGUAAAUCAAUUUUUUACAUAUAUGUUUACUAAAAAUAUUAUAUUGAUCAACAAUUUAAAACUUAAUUUUUAUUGAUUUAAAAAAAAUCAGAAGCUAUUGUGUGUUUAUUUUCCAUAAUGAAAAUCAUUUCUUUUAAAAGACAACUAUAAAGAAUUAUUUUGUUUCUUGUUUGGAGCGUAGGUUUCAGACCCAAGUAGUAGUAUGAGGUCUCUUAGCUAUUGUUCUUAAAAAAUGACCAGGUUUUGCCCAUUAUAUUGCGGCAAUUCUCCAAAGAAAUUUUGACUUUUCGUUCUGACGAACGAAUAGUCAUUGAAUCCUCCUCUUUCCAGACAACACAUACAAAGAAAUCCGCCAACCUAAAACAUAAUUAGUAAACUUUUUUUUAGGAAAACAUAAUUAGUGACCUUAUGAUAGAUGUUUAUUUUGAAUAUUUUUUAUUUUUAAAAUUCUGAUUUUCUUAAAAAUCAUCUAUAUUUACCCAAAUAUUAAUUGGUGUCAUAAGAAAUUUUGCCCAUUGCGGUCUCUUAGCUAUUGCGGUUUCAGACUCAAGUAGUAGUAUGAGGUCUCUUAGCUAUUGUUCUUGAAAAAUGACCAGGUUUUGCCCAUUGCGGCAUUGCUCCAAAGAAAUUUUGACUUUUCGUUCUAACGAACGAAUAGUCAUUGAUCGAGUCCGCCUCUUUCUCGACAACACAUACAAAGAAAUCCGCCAACAUAAAACAUAAUUAGUGAACUUUUUUUUAGGGAAACAUAAUUAGUGAACUUAUGAUAGAUGUUUAUAUUGAAUAUUUUUUUUUUCAAAUUCUGAUUUUCUUAAAAAUCAUCUUUAUUUACCUAAAUAUUAAUUGGUGUCAUAAGCAUAAACGUCAAAUAGUAGUUGUUACUAGAAGUUUGAUUGACCCAACAAGGAGAGGGAGGAGAUUCGAAGAAUCCUAAUCGCCAUCAUCAUUCUAAUUUAGCAUUACUUUUUUUACUUUUAUGUUUAACAACAAACAACUCUUUGCAAAUCCCCCCAUUAACUGUUUUUAAUCAAGUUUAGUUUAAUUUUGCAAAAGCAACAAUUCGUGUGGAGAAGAUAACUUACUACUUUAUUAAUUGAUAUGAUUUGAUGCGUUUUCCGAAAUUAUCAUCGUCUAAAAAUUUGAAUGAAUAAAUAUCUAUUUUUUUUAAAAGUAAGCUAGAAAUUAUUUUUCAAUUUAACUAUUAAAGUGAUUUUUUAGAUGGUUGGAUUGAGAGAAAAAAAAAGUUUUAUAUGUUUGGAAUGCACAUCAUGGCAAUACCUUCUAAUUUAUGACAUAAGAAGACAUCUAUAAAUAAUUUUAUUUCAUGACUUAUUUCAUUGCAUUGCAAUUAUCUCAUAGUAUAAAAUCAUAACUUUAAGGUCCUUGAAAAAUAGGAGAAAAAAUUAUUAGGUGCAUACACAAAUACCAAAUGAAAGCUCCUCAAAUAUUCUAGCAUACAAUAUACCGUACAAUGCUUUGGUUAGAGCAAGAACUCUUUCAUCUCACCCUGCUACUUAUACAAAAGCCUUUCCGACAUUUAGCUUUAUAAUGUUUCAUGUUUGGACAAUCUUUAUCAGUUAUACAAGGACGAGAAACAGGGAAAUAAAUAGAAUCACAUACUAUUACAACAUGAAAUAUGGAAAUAAAUAGAAUCAGAACAUAAACAAACUUCAAAGUUUCAGACAUCUUUUUCACUCUUUGCAUCUAAAGUAUGAUAUGAUUUGAUCAAUUUAUAGUGUAUAAAGUUCAUGCUCACAUAAUCAUAAAAUAGUUUAAGCAUUUAUAAAAUUUUAAAAACUCUUCAUAAAAUUAUAAUAAUACUAAAUGCCUCUUAAGUAUUUCUAUGUGUUGCAUUGGUCCUUGUUCACACUAGGAAAGGAGUUCAAAUCAUAAAAUUGAUAAUCAUAAGAAUUACAUUAUCA